UAAAAUAAUUAAGGGCACACAAAGGAUGCCUAGGUAGUAAGAGCCGAUGAAGGACGUGGUAAGCUGCGAUAAGCCUAGAUAAGUUGCAAUCGAACGUAAGAAUCUAGGAUUUCCGAAUGGAGCAAUCUAUUAAGAUGGAGUCUUAAUACGAAAGAGGGAACCACGUGAACUGAAACAUCUAAGUAACGUGAGGAAAAGAAAGUAAAAACGAUACCCAAAGUAGCGGCGAGCGAACUGGGUCAAGCCUAAACCUUAAAUAUGUCAAGGAUACAGCCGUUGUAUUUAAGGGGUUGAGGGACAAAGUAGUGAAGAACUGUAAGAUAUUCAAUAUAGUGUAUUGAUGAAUUAGAAUUGUAUGGAAAGAUAAACCGCAGAAGGUGAGAGUCCUGUAUAAGUAAAUCCUUACACAUAUAACUUUGCUCCCAAGUAACAUGGAACACGAGGAAUUCUGUGUGAAUCAGUGAGGACCAUAUCUCAUAAGGCUAAAUACUCUUACUAACCGAUAGCGCAUAGUACCGUGAGGGAAAGGUGAAAAGAACCCCUGGAGGGGAGUGAAAUAGAACCUGAAAUUGUGUGCUUACAAGCGGUCAGAGCCCAUUAGGGUGAUGGCGUGCCUUUUGGAGAAUGAUCCUGCGAGUUACGUUAAACGGCGAGGUUAAGUAUAACGGAGCCGAAGGGAAACCAAGUCUUAAUAGGGCGAUAUAGUCGUUUGGCGUAGACGCGAAACCUGGUGAUCUAAACCUGUCCAGGAUGAAGCUGUGGUAAGACACAGUGGAGGUCCUAACCCACCGCCGUUGAAAAGUUGGGGGAUGAGGUAGGUUUAGGGGGGAAAAGCCAAUCGAACCAGGAGAUAGCUCGUUCUCUCCGAAAUGCAUCUAGGUGCAGCCUUGAGUGUUCAAUUAUGGGGGUAGAGCACUGAAUGAUCUAGGGGGCAUAUUGCUUACUGAAAUCAAUCAAACUCCAAAUACCAUAAUUUAUAGCUCAGGAGUGAGACCAUGGGAGUUAACUUCCAUUGUCAAAAGGGAAACAACCCAGACCACCAGCUAAGGUCCCUAAUUAUAACUAAGUGGGAAAGGAGGUGGAGAUUCACAAACAACUAGGAGGUUGGCUUAGAACCAGCCAUACCUUUAAAGAGUGCGUAAUAGCUCACUAGUCGAGAGUCUCUGCGCCGACAAUGUAACGGGGCUAAGUUAUAAACCGAAGCUGUGGAAUCCUUAUGGAUUGGUAGGAGAGCGUUCUGUAGGCUGUUGAAGAAGAAGGGGAACCAACUUUGGAGGUAUCAGAAGUGAGAAUGCAGGAAUAAGUAGCGAGAAAGGGGGCGAGAAUCCCCCUCGCCGGAAGACCAAGGUUUUCAGGGUAAAGCUUGUCUUCCCUGAGUAAGCCGGGACCUAAGCCCAGGCUAUAAUGCGUAGGCGAAUGGAAAACAGAUUAAUAUUUCUGUGCCAGUCAUUUAUUGUGAUGGAGGGACGCAGAAGGGUAUGUGCGCGGACGAUCGGUUGUGUCCGUAGAAGUAUGUAGGGUGACUUAGUAGGUAAAUCCAUUAAGUUAUAUCUGAGGUAUGAUAUACAGUCGUAAGAUGAAUGUACAAAUCCCACGCUGCCAAGAAAAACUUCUAACGUUAAUAUAUGACUGCCCGUACUGUAAACCGACACAGGUGGUCAGGAUGAGAAAUCUAAGGCGGACAGGCUAACUCUCGUUAAGGAACUCUGCAAAAUAACCUCGUAACUUCGGGAGAAGAGGAGCCCUUGUGUGUGAGUAUACACGCGAUACAAAGCGCACGAGGGUCGCAGUGAAGAGGCUCAAGCAACUGUUUAACAAAAACACAGGUCUAUGCUAAGCUGUAAGGCGAUGUAUAUGGGCUGACACCUGCCCAGUGCUGGAAGGUUAAGAGGAGGAGUGAGAGCUCCGAAUUGAAGCCCCAGUGAACGGCGGCCGUAACUAUAACGGUCCUAAGGUAGCGAAAUUCCUUGUCGGGUAAGUUCCGACCUGCACGAAUGGUGUAAUGAUUUGAGCGCUGUC
rnacentral:rRNA from 1 species